UUGCUCUUCAACGAGGAAUGCCUAGUAAGCGCAUGUCAUCAGCAUGCGUUGAUUACGUCCCUGCCCUUUGUACACACCGCCCGUCGCUACUACCGAUUGAAUGGCUCAGUGAGGCCUUCGGACUGGCUCGAGGAGGUUGGCAACGACCACCUCAAGCCGGAAAGUUGGUCAAACUCGGUCAUUUAGAGGAAGUAAAAGUCGUAACAAGGUUUCCGUAGGUGAACCUGCGGAAGGAUCAUUAACCUUUCAAAUCAGGGUGCGGCGCGGCCCCCGAGGAGCGGAAACAAUCCUUGGGAGGUAUGCGGGGGCUUCGAGCCCCCCAUUUACGCACGCACGACUGCCAUCCUUACUUUACGAGCACCUUCUGUUCUCCCUCGGCGGGGCAACCUGCCGUUGGAACCGAAUAAACUCUUUUUGCAUCUAGCAUUACCUGUUCCGAAACAAACAAUCGUUACAACUUUCAACAAUGGAUCUCUUGGCUCUGGCAUCGAUGAAGGACGCAGCGAAAUGCGAUAAGUAGUGUGAAUUGCAGAAUUCAGUGAAUCAUCGAAUCUUUGAACGCACAUUGCGCCCUUUGGUAUUCCAAAGGGCAUGCCUGUUCGAGCGUCAUUUGUACCCUCAAGCUUUGCUUGGUGUUGGGCGUCUUGUCUCUAGCUUUGCUGGAGACUCGCCUUAAAGUAAUUGGCAGCCGGCCUACUGGUUUCGGAGCGCAGCACAAGUCGCACUCUCUAUCAGCAAAGGUCUAGCAUCCAUUAAGCCUUUUUUUCAACUUUUGACCUCGGAUCAGGUAGGGAUACCCGCUGAACUUAAGCAUAUCAAUAAGCGGAGGA
rnacentral:rRNA from 1 species